AAGCGCUUGAUCCCCAUCGGUGAGCCCAUUGGGCUAUUUUUCGUUCCUGCCAAUGCUCCACAAGUGAUGCAACGAAGGCUGUGGUAGUUUGCGGGACUUCACGGGUUCGUACUCUGCCAGUUUCCAGUACACCGCUGCGUGUGGGUUUGUCGGCUCCAGUAUAUUACUGUUGGAGAGGUGGGCUACACGGAAGAAGAGUCAGAUCAGAAAAACGUCUAGGAAGAGUUGAUGUAGAGUAAAAUAAAAUACAUAGAGGUUA